AUUGAACGCUGGCGGCAGGCCUAACACAUGCAAGUCGAGUGGAGCGGCGGACGGGUGAGUAAUGCCUAGGAAUCUGCCUGGUAGUGGGGGAUAACGUCCGGAAACGGGCGCUCAUACCGCAUAAUAUCAGAUGAGCCUAGGUCGGAUUAGCUAGUUGGUGGGGUAAAGGCCUACCAAGGCGACGAUCCGUAAAUGGUCUGAGAGGAUGAUCAGUCAUAAUGAAACUGAGACACGGUCCAGACUCCUACGGGAGGCAGCGGUGGGGAAUAUGUGACAAUGGGCGAAAGCCUGAUCCAGCCAUGGCACGUGUGUGAAGAAGGUCUUCGGAUUGUAAAGCACUUUAAGUUGAGAGGCGUUACCAACAGAAUAAGCACCGACGAACUUCGUGCCAGCAGCCGCGGUAAUUC
rnacentral:rRNA from 1 species